rnacentral:rRNA from 1 species
UUACCGUGAAAAAAUUAGAGUGUUCAAAGCAGGCAGAUCCAAUUUUCUGCCACCGAAUACAUUAGCAUGGGAUAAUGGAAUAGGACCCUGUCCUCCUAUUUUCAGUUGGUUUUGGCAGCGCGAGGACUAGGGUAAUGAUUAAUAGGGAUAGUUGGGGGCAUUAAUAUUUAAUUGUCAGAGGUGAAAUUCUUGGAUUUAUGAAAGAUUAACUUCUGCGAAAGCAUCUGCCAAGGAUGUUUUCAUUAAUCAAGAACGAAAGUUAGGGGAUCGAAGACGAUCAGAUACCGUCGUAGUCUUAACCAUAAACGAUGCCGACCAGCGAUUAGGAGACGUUGAAUACAAAACACCACCAUCGGUGCGGUCGUCCUUGGCGUCUCGGUCCUUCACGGGGCCGGGGCGCGGGGGCGGCUUAGCCCGGUGGCACCGGUGAAUGACUCCC